UUGUCUGACUUGUCAACCAUCUCUCUGUAUUUCUUCUUCUCUCUCUGAGAAAAGAUUUACGAUGAAGCUUGCUGUCUUUGUCUCCUUGCUGGCGGUUAUACCAUUCCAGGCCGAAGCUAAUUCGUGUGCUGAUAACACUGUGGAAGUCUGGGUGGCAAACGGCAACAACCUUUCAGGAGAUGUAUUUAAAGACCCAGAUCCUUAUGUUUUGGUGAAUCUUGGUGACAGAACCCAAAAGACCAUUGUCAUUCAUUCAAAUGCCAACCCAAGCUGGUUCCAGAAGUUCAGGUUUUUCUCUCCCCACUCUGAUUUCAUGAAAAUUGAAGUCUGGGACAAAGACGGUGGAUUUGCUGGUGAUGAUGACGAUCGCCUGGGAACCUGCAUAGAGCAACUGACCGCAAAAGGCAACCAGUUCGAAACUAUACGCUGCACUGUGAAGGGCAAUGGUGUCGUCAAGCUCUUUUACAAGUGCUACUAAACAUGAUGUAUCGGUGAAAAUGAAACGGUUAAAUUUGAGUUGGAAAGAAAGACACUUUAUGUUAAAUCUAUGGUGGUCUUAAAACAUAACAAUGAUUUAUUUUUCCUUCCACAAUGUAGUUUUGGUGUAUGGUUUUCUUUCAAAAUUUUGCCUGUUUUUCGAAUGCAUCUGUGCAACAUUGCUUUUAUCAUCUGCAUGCGACUCUGGUAAAACUUGUUAAAAAUGUCAGAAGACUAGCACAAUUUUAUCGCAUUUGCUUGUGUCAUUGAAAACUGUGUUAUGGUGAUUUUCUUUGUACUUCUGGCUCUUUUUCUUCAACUAUAGCUACAUAUAUUUCUUUAUCCUAAAAGCUAAAUUUAGCUGUCAAAUGGGGAAAUGACUGGGAAAAAUCUAAUAAAGAAAAUAUUACUUGUUUGCUGUGA